GUCAGUUUUAGUCUCAGCCUCGAAGGCGGUAGGGGUAUCCCAGGGUAAUGGGGCAGGGAAGUUAGAUUUGGUCUUACCUGAGUCUCCCGCACUGGCGAAGGGUCUCAGAUCCUGCCUGCUUGCGACCGGGAUGCGCCUCAGUGUUGUAGGAGGGGGCAUAUGCUGAAGUCAUGG